rnacentral:rRNA from 1 species
AGCGAACGCUGGCGGCAGGCCUAACACAUGCAAGUCGAACGAACUCUUCGGAGUUAGUGGCGGACGGGUGAGUAACACGUGGGAACGUGCCUUUUGGUUCGGAAUAACUCAGGGAAACUUGUGCUAAUACCGAAUGUGCCCUUCGGGGGAAAGAUUUAUCGCCAUUAGAGCGGCCCGCGUCUGAUUAGCUAGUUGGUGAGGUAACGGCUCACCAAGGCGACGAUCAGUAGCUGAUCUGAGAGGAUGACCAGCCACACUGGGACUGAGACACGGCCCAGACUCCUACGGGAGGCAGCAGUGGGGAAUCUUGCGCAAUGGGCGAAAGCCUGACGCAGCCAUGCCGCGUGAAUGAUGAAGGUCUUAGGAUUGUAAAAUUCUUUCACCGGGGACGAUAAUGACGGUACCCGGAGAAGAAGCCCCGGCUAACUUCGUG